rnacentral:rRNA from 1 species
UGGGGAAUUUUGGACAAUGGGGGAAACCCUGAUCCAGCCAUCCCGCGUGUGCGAUGAAGGCCUUCGGGUUGUAAAGCACUUUUGGCAGGAAAGAAACGUCGCGGGUUAAUACCCCGCGAAACUGACGGUACCUGCAGAAUAAGCACCGGCUAACUACGUGCCAGCAGCCGCGGUAAUACGUAGGGUGCAAGCGUUAAUCGGAAUUACUGGGCGUAAAGCGUGCGCAGGCGGUUCGGAAAGAAAGAUGUGAAAUCCCAGAGCUUAACUUUGGAACUGCAUUUUUAACUACCGGGCUAGAGUGUGUCAGAGGGAGGUGGAAUUCCGCGUGUAGCAGUGAAAUGCGUAGAUAUGCGGAGGAACACCGAUGGCGAAGGCAGCCUCCUGGGAUAACACUGACGCUCAUGCACGAAAGCGUGGGGAGCAAACAGGAUUAGAUACCCUGGUAGUCCACGCCCUAAACGAUGUCAACUAGCUGUUGGGGGCCUUCGGGCCUUGGUAGCGCAGCUAACGCGUGAAGUUGACCGCCUGGGGAGUACGGUCGCAAGAUUAAAACUCAAAGGAAUUGAC